rnacentral:rRNA from 1 species
UACGGAGGGGGCUAGCGUUAUUCGGAAUUAUUGGGCGUAAAGGGCGCGUAGGCGGCCCGGUAAGUCAAAGGUGAAAUCCCUCGGCUCAACUGAGGAACUGCCUUUGAAACUGUCGGGCUUGAGGCCGGGAGGGGGUAGCGGAAUUCCCAGUGUAGCGGUGAAAUGCGUAGAUAUUGGGAGGAACACCAGUGGCGAAGGCGGCUACCUGGACAGACACUGACACUGAGGCGCGAGAGCGUGGGGAGCAAACAGG